rnacentral:lncRNA from 1 species
CUCAGAUGUGUCUCUCAACAGAGUAUCUGAUCAUAAAUAAGCAUAAAGAAGAGAGGGGCAAUUUUGCUUGGAGUUGGAAAUUGUGUGUCAGAUCAGAGCUAGUUAAUUUUACAUGUGUUAUUUCAUUUAUUCUUUUCACCAACAAAAGAUAUUUAAUGGAGACUGUGGAAAAGAUGGCCAAUGAGAUGCAGCCAGCAGGUGUCACUCCCACCAAGAGAGACCAAAUUAUUGAGUAAACCAACAUAAUUUGGGCAGCUCUUAAGAGAGAAAAUGCCAAGAGUGGAUGGAGAGAUGAUGCUGAAGCUGUAGCUGAAGAAAGAGGAAGCUGGGAACCCUGCAUGGGGCACCUGAAUGCGAGGGCUAACUCCCAGCCUUGAAUGGCUCCUGGGAAAGUGAGCCCUGGCCUUCUAAAAGUAUCCAAAAAAGAAGCCAACUGACUGUACUCAACUUACACCACAAUUAAAGGAACAUCAGCUCUCCUAGACGAGAAAGAAUCAGCACAAUAAUUUUGACAAUUCAGAAAGCCAGAGUAUCACCUUUACCUCCAAAAAGUCCACUUGCUCUCUAGCAAUGGUUCUUAAUGAGAUUGAAAUGUCUAAAAUGACAAACAGAGAAUUCAGAAUCUGGGUAGAAAGGAAGCACAUUGAGAUCAGAAGGAAGUUGAAACCCAAUCCAAGAAAUCCAAAGCAUCCAGUAAAAUAAUCCAAGAGCUGAAAUACAAAAUAGCUAUUUUAAGAUAAAACCAAACUGAACUUCUAGAGCUGAAAAAUUCACUACAAGAAUUUUAUAAUACAAUUGGAAGUAUUAACAGCAUAAUAAAUCAAUCUGGGGAAAGAAUCUUGAGUUUAAAGACUGGUUCUUCGGAUCAACUCAGACCAAAAAAAAAAAGAAUUUUAAAAAAUGAACAAUGAACAAACCUCCAAGAAGUAUGGGAUUAUGUAAAUAGACAAAAUCUAUGACUCAUUGGCAUUCCUGAGAGAAAAGGAGAGAGAAUAAGCAACUUGGAAAAUAUAUUUGAGGGUAGAGUUGAUGAAAAUUUAUCUAAUCUUGCUAGAGAGGUUGACAUGCAAUUCCAAGAAACAGAGAACCCUAACUAUAUACUAUACAAGGAAACCAUCCCCAAGGCACAUAGUCAUCAGACUCACCAAGGGCAAUACAAAAGAAAAAAUCUUAUAGGCAGCUUGAGAUAAGGGUCAAUUCAUGUACAGAGGGAAACCCAUCAGACUGGCAGAAGACCUCUCACCAGAAACUGUACAAGCCAGAAGAGAUGGGGCCUAUUUUCAGUGUCCUUAAAAGAAAUUCUAACCAAGAAUUUUAUAUCCUACUAAACUAAGAUUCAUAAGUGAAGGAGAAAUAAAAUCUUUCUCAGACAAGCUAAUGCUCAGGGGAUAAUUUCAACUAGACCAGCUUUACAAUAAGUCCUCAAUGGUAUACUAAACAUGAUAUCAAAACAAUGGCACUUGCUACCACAAAAAGACAGUUAAGCACAUAGCCUACAGGCACUAUAAAGCAAUUAUCCAAUCAAGUCUGCAUAACAACCAGCUAACAACACAAUGACAGGAUCAAAAGCUCACAUAUCAAUACUAACCUUGAAUGUAAAUGGGCUAAUUGUCUCACAUAAAAGGCAUAGGGUAACAAGCUGGAUAAAGACAAGACCCAACCAUCUACUAUCUUCAAGAGAUCCAUCUCACAUGCAAUGACACCCACAGGCUCAAAGUAAAGUAAUGGAGAAGGAUCUACCAUGCUAAUGGAAAUAAAAGAGCAAAGAGCAGG